GACGAACGCUGGCGGCGUGCUUAACACAUGCAAGUCGAGCAAACCACUUCGGUGGUGAGCGGCGAACGGGUGAGUAACACGUAGGUGAUCUGCCCAUCAGACGGGGACAACGAUUGGAAGCGAUCGCUAAUACCGGAUAGGACGAAAGUUUAAAGGUGCUUCUGGCACCGCUGAUGGAUGAGCCUGCGGCGCAUUAGCUAGUUGGUAGGGUAAAGGCCUACCAAGGCGACGAUGCGUAGCCGACCUGAGAGGGUGAACGGCCACACUGGGACUGAGACACGGCCCAGACUCCUACGGGAGGCAGCAGUAGGGAAUCUUCGGCAAUGGGCGAAAGCCUGACCGAGCAACGCCGCGUGAAUGAUGAAGGCCUUCGGGUUGUAAAAUUCUGUUAUAAGGGAAGAACGACUUUAGUAGGAAAUGGCUAGAGUGUGACGGUACCUUAUGAGAAAGCCACGGCUAACUACGUGCCAGCCGCCGCCGUAA
rnacentral:rRNA from 1 species